AAUCAACGCUGGCGGCGUGCCUCAGACAUGCAAGUCGAACGCGAAAGUUCCCUCGGGGAGCGAGUAGAGUGGCGCACGGGUGAGUAACACGUGGAUAAUUUACCUCGGUGGGGAAUAACAACCGGAACGGUUGCUAAUACCGCAUAAUGCAGCGGCAUCUAUGAUGACAGUUGUUAAAGCGGGGGAGUCGCAAGACCUCGCGCCUGAAGAGAAGUCCGCGGC
rnacentral:rRNA from 1 species